UUGAUUUCCUUUUGACAAGUGCAAGACCUCCCAGUUAGCCAUUAUUAAUCUGUUUAAUGUGUGCUGUAUUGAUAUGGCAUUGUACUGAUUCUUAAAUAUUUUACUGUUCUUUCUGAGAAAUAUCUAUUAAUAUCCUAAAGAAGUAGGGAGCAAAGAAAGACUCACAAAAUAUGUAUAAUAAAAAUAUCUUUAUAAUAUGAAAUGCACAAGAAGGUAGACAGGGAAAGGAUUAACCAGGACCAACAUGUUCAAAACUGAGUGCCUCGAGUGAAAAGAUUCUGCUGUACCUAAAAUACUGAACACAAUUAGAUUAUUGUAGAGAUGUAGGACCAAAUUCAGUGUGGUGUAAGCGCAUGCAGCACCUGUUGAACUCCAUGGGAAUUUAACUCACUUAUACCCCAGUGCUAAAUUUGGUCUGGAGUCUUUAUUUCAUAAUAAAUGAUUAAAUGGAUUGUCAGAUUUGAUAUUCUCUCAUAAAUGUCUAAUUAAGAAAAAAAGUAAGCCUCUGCUUCAUAAAAUCUCUGACUAAUAGUACUAAUAAAAUGUCAUAAAUGCGAUGAAUGGUGUGAUAAUGCUUUCAGAGACUAAUUGCUUUUUAUUACCAUUUGUGUUGAACUGAUCAGAGUAACAGCCCCUUAGCUAAGAUACCACAAUAGUGUGAUGAGUGAUGACUAUCUGGUGCUUCCCUAACAGGGACUGCCCACAAGGAAGAGGAGAAAAAAUGGGCACCCCUAUGUGACUGGCUGCAGAUCAGGAAACAUCUAACAUGACUCAGACACCAAAUGGAGCACUCUAAAUAAAACUUUUGCUUAAGCAAAUGUGCCCUAGGCUAGGAGUCAGAAUACCCUGGAUUCUGUUCUCAAUUCUUCUAUUAGCUGGUGCUAAUAUCUCUCUCUUAUUAUUGCCUGCCUAAAAGGGAGGAAAGUUUUAAUCCCCACCCUUUCUAAGUAAAGGUAUGGAGAAGUUGCACAAGGUCAUGACAAGCAGAGUAGGGAAUAAUCUGAUCUUAUCCACUUUGUGAUUGCCUGGAAGAAGCAGCAUUCUGAGCUACACUGUCUGUAACUCCUGCCUUGCCCAUUAGUGAACAUCCUGCUCUCAGCCAGAAGCAAAGCCUUGGAAUGGCAAGUGCCACUGCUGUCUUACACAAUAUGCAACUGAACGGCAAAAGAGUGAAGCAGGUACAUGGGACUGUCUUGUUUGGGUGGGUUUUUUAAUGCCACCUAUUGCCAUAUCUUUCUGUCAGACAGCGAAGUCACAGAAAUGCAUUUGGCCCUUAGAGCAGAAGAUGGGGAGGGUUUUUGGUUUUUUUAGGUGCUUGCUUCAACAUUCUUUGAGUAGCCUCUAGGAGCGAUGACUCAGGUAAAAAGAUGACUCAGCCACAUAGACACGCUCUGCCCUUGUUGCUCUAUUGUGCCAUAUUCAUCAUAGAGCUUUAGGUGGUCUUUUAGAAAUCCUGGGCCCAACCCCUGAAUUUAAAGAGGGAGGCCUUGAACUACUUUCAAAAUUUGAUGAAAUUGCAUUGGCUUUAGCUAAGGAGGAGGAGCUUGAUGUAAAUCAGAACGUUCUGGAUUCAAACCCUACUGAUGACCCAAGUGGGGACAAAUUUGUGCGUGGUCAUUUAACUGAGGCAGAAUAUAAGUGCAUCUGGCAAACUUAGAGCUAGCAUUUCCCAGCAUUUGACUAUGAUUCUAUAGUAGUCUUUUUUUAGCAUAAUAUGCUUCCAUAGGUAUCUCAAGACCCCGUUAAGUUAGCAUUUAUUAAGGAAUGAGGUGCUUUGGGCGCUGCUAAUGGACUACAGUUCUUUUUACCUGAGUCAUUUUUUGCAAUUCAGCCCAGCGUGGUAGGGAGUAAAACCUGUUCCUAUCAGUUGUCUGUUUUGAGGCUUCUAUGUGAGAUGAGUUUAGAGGGUUUCAGUUUAGAUCCAGCACAACAAACACACUGCCACAUACUGCACUAACUGACAGACUCAGCAAGGAAGCCAAGAAUUACACUGAAACCAGAGUACCUCUACUACCCCAGCAGUAGUAGUGCCCCCAAGUCAGUGUUAAGGCAUGCUGGCAGGGCAGUGUACAGAGAAAGCUUGCCCUGCUGCAGCCCUGUAGAUCACUAAAGGACUUCAUUCACAAGGGCCAUCUAUUCACCUAUGCGUUUCAUCAGCAGUAAAUCCCUAUAAUUUUAAAGCUGAAGUUGGCUCAAUAUGCAAAUUAUUUGCAAAAGUGCCAAUGAUUUCAUUAUAUAAUUGGCAUAAAAUGCUGUACACAGAGAUGUGUAAACCUUGGCAGCUCCAUAGCAGUGUCCAAUGCCACUGGGACAAAGCAAAAAGGAGGAAGAAUGACCCUCUUAUUAUUUCCCUUCCUGUGCCAGGGUCCCUGAAAACCAGCCAUGAGGUAAAGGGGAAGAGAAGCCUCUAUCCUGAUCUGAUGCACAUUCCACAGACAGGAAGUGGUGCCUUCUCUUAACUAUUCCAAUGGCUAUUAAAAUACUACGAGGCUGACACUGAAUACCAGCAUUUUGGCCAGAUCUCAUAUUAAUUCCUUUUCAGAGUCCAUUUCAGUACAGGUUUUUUGUCUGUACAGAAUGUGCUGUUCUUGGCAUCUUCGUAUCCCAUGAAGAUAUGUAAAAUAUUGAACAGCUUAGAGAGAGUGGAUCAGAAGCUUCUCUUCUCCCAGUCUCAUAACACAAAAGCAAGGUGGCAUUCCAUGAAACUAAAAUGUGGUAAACUCAAAAUGGAUGAAAGGAAACCACUUUUUACUGGAUGUGCAGUCAGACAGUGGAACUCAUUGCCACAGGAAGUCAAUGCAAAAUUCAAAGUGGGACUGGACCUUUAUAUGGCUAAUGGCAACAUCAGGAGUCAUCCUAGCUAAUGCUGAAUAAAGACUUUCGGAAUGGAAAUACACCUUCGGGGGGUGGGGAGAGCAGAUUGUUCCACAUCUGCCUGCUGUGAUAGUCCUUGCUUUUUCUACUGAAGACUCUGGUGCUGACCCCUGUCAAAGUCAGUAGACUAUGUUUUUGAUUCAAUCUGUCUGUUUCUAUACUGGUAGUACAGUUAUAGUGAUCUUUCAUGAAACAAAAUGUUGCUUAUGCUGAAAUCUUAACCUGGGCUGGCUUUUGAUGAAUAUGUCCACUGUAAUGCUCCUAUGGUGAUCAAUUAGAUCAUUUAAUAAACCAUCUCAUUUUGUGUUGUUUUA